UGCCUCAAUACAAUAAAUUAAGCAUAAUAUCACAGAAUAACCCAACGUAUAAAUGCCAAUUAUAACAUAACAGUUAAAGUGAACUACAAAUGUAACCUAUCAAAUAAAUUGUUAUGAUUGAGCCUCAUGGCUCUGCUUCUGACUGACGUGGACGUAAGACUCCUCGAGAGUCAGAUACUCUCGAGGAGCGAGAAAGAAAGAGGCUGCGAGAUAUCUUUGCAGAACCAUCUGACGAAGAGUCUUUUAAGGGGUUCACGGAGAGAAUGGAGGAAGAGCUGGUUAGCUCGGAAGAGGAUGAGAUGGAUUGGACUCGGCUUUGACCUUCCGUCGUCUUCUUGACGGACGCCAUCUGCUACUCUGGAUUUACGGACUGAAAACUGACUACGGGCUCGCUUUCUCCUAUUGAACUUGGAAAACUGCAAACGUCUGAUUCUGCCUCUCGACCUACGGAACGAACUGGGACUACGCUACUGCUUCAAUCCUUGGCUGCUGAGUUUGUAUUGGAAAUUUGCCUUGCUGUGUGAAGGAGUGACUCCUAGUUACUCAAAACAUAGUGCUGGCAGCAGAGAGGCAUCUGCUGCCAAUUAGUUGCAUUCUUUUGAACUCUUUGUUUCCCAGCUUCUGUUUGUUUUUCCCCAGGCUGAAGCAAGCUGUUUUGAUUUUACCCGGAUUAAACUCCGGUUUAAUCCGGUUUAUCUUUUGAACGUUUUUCUUGCCCCUUUUUGUUUUUAAAGGCUAAAGUUGCCUUGCCCUUGUCUUUUACGGGCAUUUUGAGUUCUGUAAAUCCAAUAAACUCUGUUAUCUUUGA